rnacentral:rRNA from 1 species
AUGGCUGGGCCGCUGCCGCCGGGUCGCCCCGCGCCCCUGCGGGCUCACGCUCCUCCGCUCGUCGCCCUCUCCGGCCGCAGCGCCGGGCCCGGCCUCAUCUGCCGCCUGCUGGCUCCGCCUCCGCCCACGGCCGGGUCGCGCUGCCGGAUCCGCUUCUGCUCGCGGCCAGGGGCCCGCGCUGGCCGGCCUCCCGUGCCGCCCACCGGACCUGCCCGCUCGGCCGGCUCCCGCACUGGACGGCUCCACUGCCGCCCUGCGCCCAUCCGCGCUAGCCGCCUGCUAUCGGCCCGCGCGCGCGACGGCUCCACCUCGAGCCCGGCCGCGUCCGGCUCCCUAGCGCCGCCCCGCACCCGGCCGGGUCCAGCUCCCUCCUCGCAGGCGUCUCCUCCGCUGGACGGCUCCACCAGCAAGCCGGCCCCGAGCCCGGCCUCCUCUCGCCCCCCCGCUGGCCUCCAGAGCACUUGCCGGCUCGCGGUCUCUUCGGCCGCCUCCCGUGGCGCCCGCGCGACCCGGCCGGCCGGCUCCCGCGCUCGCCGGUUUCCCUGGAACCCGGCCCCGUGCCGGCUCGGCCUCGCCGCCUCCAGCCGGCGACCCGGCGCUUGGCCGGCUCCGCCCUGCAUCCCGGCUGGCCGCCUCCGUCCGCCAACCCGGCGCUUGGCCGGCUCCGCCUCGCCUGCCAUCUCCACCUCGCGGGCGCUGCGUCUCCAUCGGCUCGCACCCGCGGCCCGGCCUCGCCAUCUCUGCCGGCCCCCGCGUCGAGUCCCCGCACCCGCGCCGGGUCCCCGCACCCCGUCGUCUCCGCCGGCUCCGCCCCGAGUGCUCGGCCACCAGCGCCGCGGCUGCCGCGUGCUCCUCCGCCCGCGCCGGCUGUGGCCCCGUGCUGGCCCGGCCGCCUGCCGGCUUUGGCCGGUCGCCUCCCGACCUCCUCCAGCCGCUCCUCCUCGCCCGCGCUGCUGCCGUCCGGCUACGUGCCGCGCCCGACGCCCCAGUCGGCCCUCGCUGUCCGGGUUCCCACCCGGCUGCAAAGAAAGAAAAAGAAAGGGGGAGUGGGUGUCGGCUGGAGAAAGAAAGAGAAAAGAAGCAGGAGGGUUGGACCCGACCAGAGAAAAGUCAGAAGGCCGGCUCGCCAAAAAAAAGAAGCUGUGUCCGACAACUCAAAGCCGGCUGGGAGAAAAGAGAGAAGUGGCCGGGUGCCCAGCCGGCCGUCCGAAAAGUCAGACCGGGUCCCCAGCCGGCUGA